UACGAAGGUCCCAAGCGUUGUUCGGAAUCACUGGGCGUAAAGGGAGCGUAGGCGGCGUGGUAAGUCAGAUGUGAAAUCCCGGGGCUCAACCCCGGAACUGCAUCCGAUACUGCCACGCUUGAGGGUUGGAGAGGUAGCUGGAAUUAUCGGUGUAGCAGUGAAAUGCGUGGAUAUCGAUAGGAACACUCGUGGCGAAGGCGAGCUACUGGACAACAUCUGACGCUGAGGCUCGAAGGCCAGGGGAGCAAACGGG
rnacentral:rRNA from 1 species